rnacentral:rRNA from 1 species
AACGAACGCUGGCGGCAGGCUUAACACAUGCAAGUCGAACGCAUGCCUUCGGGCAUGAGUGGCAGACGGGUGAGUAACGCGUGGGAACCUACCCCUUGGUACGGGAUAGCUCCGGGAAACUGGAGAUAAUACCGUAUGUGUCCUGAGGGACAAAGAUUCAUCGCCAAGGGAUGGGCCCGCGUCGGAUUAGCUAGUUGGUGGGGUAACGGCCUACCAAGGCGACGAUCCGUAGCUGGUCUAAGAGGAUGAUCAGCCACAUUGGGACUGAGACACGGCCCAAACCCCUACGGGGGGCCGCAGUGGGGAAAUUUGGACAGUGGGCGAAAGCCUGACCCGCCCAUGCCGCGGGAGGGAUGAAGGCCCUGGGGUUGUAAAGCUCUUUCACCGGUGACGAAAAUGCCGGUAACCGGAGAAGAAGCCCCGGCUAACUUCGU